GACGAACGCUGGCGGCGUGCUUAACACAUGCAAGUCGAACGAAGUGGCGAACGGGUGAGUAACGCGUAAUCAACCUGCCCUUCAGAGGGGGACAACAGUUGGAAACGACUGCUAAUCCCGCAUACUGAAGGAGGGGAUUGCGUCUGAUUAGCUAGUUGGAGGGGUAACGGCCCACCAAGGCGAUGAUCAGUAGCCGGUCUGAGAGGAGGAACGGCCACAUUGGGACUGGGACACGGGCCAGACUCCUACGGGAGGGAGCAGGUGGGAAUCUUACGAAAUGGGCGAAAGUCUGACGGAGCAACGCCGCGUGAGUGAUGACGGGCUUCGGGUUGUAAAGCUCUGUUAAUCGGGACGCGGUACCGGCAUAGAAAGCAACGGCUAACUCCGUGCCAGCAGCCGCGGUAAUAC
rnacentral:rRNA from 1 species